AUUGCAAACUUUUCUAUCGCUUUCCUGUAAAGGAAAGAGGAAAGUCCGGGCAACACAGAGCAACGCACUUCCUAACGGGAAGGAUCUCAUCCUGCAAUGAGAUAUGGAAAGUGCCUCAGAGACGAGACCGCCGAAUCCGCUUCGCGGAUGGUAAGGGUGAAAGGGUGGGGUAAGAGCCCACCGGUGCGGGUGGUGACAUCCGCAGCCUGGUAAACCCUGCGUGUUGUAAGGCCAAAUAGGCCGGCAAUUCCGUGAAAGCGGAAAAGAGCUUGCUCGGCUCUUGCCGGUGGGUAGGCUGCUGGAGCCGCACGGUGACGCGCGGCCAAGAUAAAUGAUGGAAGCUUCUGCAAAGAAGUACAGAACCCGGCUUACAGGUUUGCAAUGCAG
rnacentral:RNase_P_RNA from 1 species